UUCGGCUGGAUAUCACACAGGUGCUGCAUGGCUGUCGUCAGCUCGUGUCGUGAGAUGUUCGGUAAGUUCGGCAACGAGCGCAACCCACAUCCCCAGUUGCCAGCAGGUUAUGCUGGGCACUCUGUGGAAACUGCCCGUGAUAAGCGGGAGGAGGGUGUGGAUGACGUCAAGUCCUCAUGGCCCUUACGGGUUGGGCUACACACGUGCUACAAUGGUGGUGACAAUGGGUUAAUCCCCCAAAAGCCAUCUCAGUUCGGAUUGGGGUCUGCAACUCGACCCCAUGAAGUCGGAAUCGCUAGUAAUCGCGUAACAGCAUGACGCGGUGAAUACGUUCCCGGGCCUU
rnacentral:rRNA from 1 species